rnacentral:rRNA from 1 species
AGGUCACUGCAUCGGUGUCGAUGAAGCCAUGCGAGUCGUGAGGGGUCAAAGCCCUCGGCGGAGUGCUCAGUAACACGUGGACAACCUACCCAAGUAGUCAGGGAUAACCCCGGGAAACUGGGGAUAAUACUGAUAGCCCAUGACAUCUGGAAUCGAGUUGUGGUUUAAACGUACAGACUCUUGGAUGGAUCUGCGGCGGAUUAGGUUGUUGCCGGUGUAAUGUACCAGCAAGCCUGUAAUCCGUACGGGUUGUGGGAGCAAGAGCCCGGAGAUGGAUUUUGAGACAGGAAUCCAGGCCCUACGGGGCGCAGCAGGCGCGAAAACUAUACAAUGCAGGCAACUGCGAUAGGGGAACAUCGAGUGGCAUCCACCAUGGAUGUCUGUCCAAUCGUCUAAAAAACGAUUGUCAGCAAGGGCCGGGCAAGACCGGUGCCAGCCGCCGCGGUAAUACCGGCGGCUCGAGUGGUGGCCGAUAUUAUUGAGUCUAAAGGGUCUGUAGCCGGCUUUGCAAGUCCUAUGGGAAAUCCAGCGGCUUAACCGUUGGGCUUUCAUGGGAUACUACAUUGCUUGGGACUGGGAGAGGUAGGAGGUACUCAGGGGGUAGGGGUGAAAUCCUGUAAUCCUUUGGGGACCACCGGUGGCGAAGGCGUCCUACCAGAACAGGUCCGACGGUGAGGGACGAAAGCUAGGGGCACGAACCGGAUUAGAUACCCGGGUAGUCCUAGCCGUAAACGAUGCUCGCUAGGUGUCACGGCAGUCGUGAAUUGUCGUGGUGCCGUAGGGAAGCCGUGAAGCGAGCCACUUGGGAAGUACGACCGCAAGGUUGAAACUUAA